GGACACAGUCUCCUGGAUCGUCAAUGCUGAUGAAGUAGAAGUUGAUGGUGACAAGCCUUCCAGCAGGAGCAACAAGGACCCACUCGCAGUACGUGUUGUUUGGGAAGAAUGGGGCCACCUAGAGCAGUGGGCAUCUCUGGGACAUCAGAGGAUCUUGAAAGGGGAGGUGAAGGCAUGAAAACAGAUUCCAAGCAUGGUCUAGAGCUCGGCCCUCGCUUGGUAG
rnacentral:lncRNA from 1 species